rnacentral:rRNA from 1 species
GGACCCGCACAAGCGGUGGAGCAUGUGGUUUAAUUCGACGCAACGCGAAGAACCUUACCAGGGCUUGACAUCCCUUGACCGCCAUGGAAACAUGGUUUUCGGGCCUUCGGGCCUGACAAGGAGACAGGUGGUGCAUGGUUGUCGUCAGCUCGUGUCGUGAGAUGUUGGGUUAAGUCCCGCAACGAGCGCAACCCCUAUUUUCAGUUGCCAGCACGUCAAGGUGGGAACUCUGAAGAAACUGCCGGUGACAAACCGGAGGAAGGUGGGGAUGACGUCAAAUCAUCAUGCCCUUUAUGUCCUGGGCUACACACGUGCUACAAUGGCCGGUACAGAAGGCUGCGAAGGAGCGAUCCGGAGCGAAUCUUAAAAGCCGGUCUCAGUUCGGAUUGCAGGCUGCAACUCGCCUGCAUGAAGUCGGAAUCGCUAGUAAUCGCGAGUCAGCAUAUCGCGGUGAAUACGUUCCCGGGUCUU